CACACCACUGACGGUGAUCACAACUUCUUGUACUUUUCCCGGGCUUUAUCCAGAUUCUCACGCGCCAUCUUGCAGGUCUCCUCUAAUCUCUCUCGAA
rnacentral:lncRNA from 1 species